rnacentral:rRNA from 1 species
UAAUACGUAGGGAGCAAGCGUUAUCCGGAUUUAUUGGGUGUAAAGGGUGCGUAGACGGGACAACAAGUUAGUUGUGAAAUCCCUCGGCUUAACUGAGGAACUGCAACUAAAACUAUUGUUCUUGAGUGUUGGAGAGGAAAGUGGAAUUCCUAGUGUAGCGGUGAAAUGCGUAGAUAUUAGGAGGAACACCGGUGGCAAAGGCGACUUUCUGGACAAUAACUGACGUUGAGGCACGAAAGUGUGGGGAGCAAACAGGAUUAGAUACCCUGGUAGUCCACACCGUAAACGAUGGAUACUAGGUGUAGGAAAUGAUUUCAUUUUCUGUGCCGUCGCAAACGCAAUAAGUAUCCCACCUGGGGAGUACGGCCGCAAGGUUG